rnacentral:lncRNA from 1 species
UCUAAUGGAAGCAUAUAAAAUACUGUUGCUGUGUUCCAGGUGCUCCCCCCAAGGCUGUUGUAUGUGUCAACUCAUUGAAUCAUCUUGAGAUGUUCCAUGAGGUGGAUGUUAUUUUCAUCCCUGUGUUACAGAAACAAAAACUAAGCCCUGGAGAGUUAAGGUCCCAUGUGUACAACCCCACAGUCACUAAGCAGGAAAAUCAAGACCUGAGUUCAGGGCCUUUUAGGAGCCUCUGGAGUGAUGGGUGUCUCCCCAGGAGUAGUAAAAGGGUCUCAUGAUGGCAAAAAGAAUCACAGGCCACCACCUUCCCUGGCCCAGAAAGCCACUCAGUUUUCAAAGGCGUGACUCUGGAGGUACUCCCCAGAAGGUCACUCUGUGCUCGGGACACACUCCUUUCUUAAAACUGGCCCUAAACGUGAAUGGCAUCUGACCCUCUUCCAAGCCCUGGAGUGGCUUUGGAAGGAGUUCACCACCCCCAGGAGAGCUGCCUUCCACCCCAGUGAAUGACAGUCCCUCCUCUGACGCCUUGUCUCUGCUAUGUGUCAUCCUUCCAGGGAAGUCCAGCAGAACCUCUGGGCUGAUAAAGCGGACACUCUGUCUUUGAAGAACGAAGAGAACUUCUGGGCCACGGGCCACCUCGCCAGCGACUCCAAGUGGAACUGUGUAGCCCACGUGUGCCUGGAGGGCACGGGAACCCCAGCCACCCAGCGCACCUCCCAGAGGGCCGGUGGGAAUUGUCGAUAGUGCCAAAGUCCUACACUGCAUUUUCAAUGGGUCCCUGUACAUAGUUUGCUCCGCUGCCCAGGCCCCCACCUCUUGCUAUACUGGAACUGAUUUGUACAAUGUGGGAACUUUGUUAUCUUUUUAAUGGAGGGCCACUUCCUUUCCCAGCACUUCCAUUGUAAGGCUUUUUUCCAGGAAGGGGGACUAACCGCAUUACUUUUCCCUUUUCUCUUUUUCUGUUUUUAUUUUUAUUUUAUUAACUGGGGGAGGGAGUAUUAGUAUUAGUGCCAUUAUAUCUACUGGAUUUUAGGUAGGGAGAAUUUAUCUUUAAAUAAUGGUAGUUUGAAACUUGGAAGAUUUCUUGGUGGGAAGGACUGAGGUUGGGUCUCUGUCUCAGCUCCAAGUGGGCUUCAGACGUCAGAUCUUGCAUAUCUAACCCAUUUCCAGUUCUUCCCGGCUGCCUCUGGUCCCUGCCUUGAGUCACACGCAGGCCUUUUGAACUGCCAGGAGGCGGGAGUCUGACUUCUCAACCCCUUGGCCUCGCUGAGAGACUGGAUAGCAGGUGGCUGUCCUCUUUAAGCACCUUUUUAAAUACCAGCAGAAAGGGCUCUCAUGAUGGUUAACAUCACCAUUACACUUACAAAAUUAAAAAAAAAAAAAAAUGAUCUUCCUCUCUAUAUGGUACACAGAUGAGAAGCUUUGGUUUUCAUUUCUCUUCUCAACUGCCUUUUUGGGUGUGGUGUUUGACAAGAUUUCAGCUUGAAGACUCACCAUGAAUUGAUUGUGUGUGUGUGUGUGUGUGUGUGUUGGGCCAAUUUUAGAUACCUUUGAGUGCACUUUGGUUUUGUUUUGGUUUUUUGUUUUUGUUUUUUGUUUUUUGUUAGUCCUAACUUUUAAAGGAAAACCAAGAGACAUAUCUGGUGUAAAUGUUGCAAUAUGAAUUAUGUUUGCAAUCCCUUUUCUGCUCUCCCACCCCCUCCCCAUUCAAGUACACUGCACAAAUAAAAUGCUAGGGAGUUUGAAUCAAAACCAGUUUUUCUAACUUGUUGCUCAUUUGUUGGAACUCAAUAAAGCAAAGACUAAACAUUUUUACAACCUUUUCCUCUGUUCCUCAUUCUUCA